CAGUUCAGAUUGCAGGCUGCAACCCGCCUGCAUGAAGCUGGAAUCGCUAGUAAUCGCGGAUCAGAAUGCCGCGGUGAAUACGUUCCCGGGUCUUGUACACACCGCCCGUCACACCAUGGGAGUCGGAAAUGCCCGAAGUCUGUGACCCAACCUUAGGGAGGGAGCAGCCGAAGGCAGGUCGGAUGACUGGGGUGAAGUCGUAACAAGGUACC
rnacentral:rRNA from 1 species